UACAGAGGGGGCAAGCGUUGUUCGGAAUUACUGGGCGUAAAGGGCGCGUAGGCGGCCGCCUAAGUCAGACGUGAAAUCCCUCGGCUCAACCGGGGAACUGCGUCUGAUACUGGGUGGCUUGAAUCCGGGAGAGGGAUGCGGAAUUCCAGGUGUAGCGGUGAAAUGCGUAGAUAUCUGGAGGAACACCGGUGGCGAAGGCGGCAUCCUGGACCGGCAUUGACGCUGAGGCGCGAAAGCCAGGGAGCAAAGCGGG
rnacentral:rRNA from 1 species